AGGGCUGCCUAUAAGAUAGUAUUGAUCUGGAUCCCUGAGAACUCCUGGAAUCUGGAGAACUGCUUUUUCUACCGGGACAACACUGAUGUAAGCAUGACAGGGCAUGAGAAGGUAAAGUGAGAGAUGGUUGCUAUAAGUUUGACAUCUGCUUCAUUUUGGUGCAGAAGACCACAAUCUAGAUAGACUCUUGGGCAGUACCAGAUGACACUGCCCCAGAUGUAAUUGCCAGUAGUGAGCAAACCUAUGAAGAUUUGACCAACCUCAACAAGGCAGGGACAGCUGCCAAGGAUGGUGAAGUCCAGGAAAUCAUCUGGUGUUUUAUGAAGUCCGGUCUCCUGAGAAGGAGCCUGAUCACCUGUUUUACAGUAACAACAGUAAG
rnacentral:lncRNA from 1 species